AACGAACGCUGGCGGCAUGCCUAACACAUGCAAGUCGAACGAGACCUUCGGGUCUAGUGGCGCACGGGUGCGUAACGCGUGGGAACCUGCCCUUAGGUUCGGAAUAACUCCCCGAAAGGGGUGCUAAUACCGGAUAAUGUCUUCGGACCAAAGAUUUACCGCCUUUGGAUGGGCCCGCGUUGGAUUAGCUAGUUGGUAGGGUAAAAGCCUACCAAGGCGACGAUCCAUAGCUGGUCUGAGAGGAUGAUCAGCCACACUGGGACUGAGACACGGCCCAGACUCCUACGGGAAGCAGCAGUGGGGAAUAUUGGACAAUGGGCGAAAGCCUGAUCCAGCAAUGCCGCGUGAGUGAUGAAGGCCUUAGGGUUGUAAAGCUCUUUUACCCGGGAUGAUAAUGACAGUACCGGGAGAAUAAGCUCCGGCUAACUCCGUG
rnacentral:rRNA from 1 species